AUACGGAGGAUGCGAGCGUUAUCCGGAUUUAUUGGGUUUAAAGGGAGCGUAGGCGGGAGCUUAAGUCAGCGGUUAAAUGGUGCGGCUCGACCGGGCCCUGCCGUUGAAAAUGGGGUUCUUGAGAGGGGAAGAGGCGGGUGGGAUUUCUGGGGGAGCGGGGAAAUGCUUAGAUAUCAUGAAGAACUCCGAUUGCGAAGGCAGUCCGCUGGGGCACGUCUGACGCUGAUGCUCGAAGGUGCGGGAAUCAAACAGGAUUAGAUACCCUGGUAGUCCGCACGGUAAACGAUGAUUACCCGCUGUCGGCGGUAGACAGUCGGCGGCCAAGCGAAAGCGAUAAGUAAUCCACCUGGGGAGUACGCCGGCAACGGUGAAACUCAAAGGAAUUGACGGGG
rnacentral:rRNA from 1 species